rnacentral:rRNA from 1 species
CACGAACCGGGCAAACGUUAUUCGGAAUUACUGGGCUUAAAGGGUGCGUAGGCUGCGCUAUAAGUCGGGUGUGAAAUCCCUCAGCUCAACUGAGGAACUGCGCCCGAUACUGUAGUGCUUGAGGAGGAUAGAGGUGAGCGGAACUAGCAGUGGAGCGGUGAAAUGCGUUGAUAUUGCUGGGAACACCCGUGGCGAAAGCGGCUCACUGGGUCCCUUCUGACGCUGAGGCACGAAAGCUAGGGGAGCGAACGGG